AACGAACGCUGGCGGCAUGCCUAACACAUGCAAGUCGAACGAGACCUCCGGGUCUUGUGGCGCACGGGUGCGUACGGCGUGGGAAGCUGCCCUUAGGUACGGAAUACCUCCCCGAAGGGGGUCCUAAUAACGCAUAAUGUCUUCCGACCAAAGAUUUCUGGCCUUUGGAUGGGCCCGCGUUGGAUUAGCUAGUUGGUAGGGUAAAAGCCUCCCAAGGCGUGGAUCCAUAGCUGGUCUGAGAGGAUGAUCAGCCACACUGGGACUGAGACACGGCCCAGAAUCCUACGGAAGGCAGGAGAGGGGGAUAUAGGACAAUGGGGGAAGGCCUGAUCCAGCAAUGCCGCGUAAGUGAUGAAGGCCUUAGGGUAGUAAAGCGCUUUUACCCGGGAUGAUAAUGACAGUACCGGGAGAAUAAGCACCGGCUAACUCCGUG
rnacentral:rRNA from 1 species